rnacentral:rRNA from 1 species
CCUACGGGUGGCAUCAGUGAGGAAUAUUGGUCAAUGGACGAGAGUCUGAACCAGCCAAGUAGCGUGAAGGAUGACUGCCCUAUGGGUUGUAAACUUCUUUUAUAUGGGAAUAAAAUGUCCCACGUGUGGGAGUUUGUAUGUACCCUAUGAAUAAGGACCGGCUAACUCCUUGCCAGCAGCCGCGGUAAUACGGAGGAUCCGAGCGUUAUCCGGAUUUAUUGGGUUUAAAGGGAGCGUAGGUGGCGUGUUAAGUCAGUUGUGAAAGUUGGCGGCUCAACCGGGACAUUGCAGUUGAAACUGGCGGUCUUGAGUACAGUAGAGGUGGGCGGAAUGCGUGGUGUAGCGGUGAAAUGCUUAGAUAUCACGAAGAACACCGAUUGCGAAGGCAGUUCACUGAACGGCAACUGACGCUGAGGCUCGAAAGUGUGGGUAUCGAACAGGAUUAGAUACCCGUGUAGUC